UACGUAGGUGGCAAGCGUUGUCCGGAUUUAUUGGGUUUAAGGGUGCGUAGGCGGCUUUGUAAGUCAGUGGUGAAAUAUGGCAGCUCAACUGUCAGGGUGCCAUUGAUACUGCGGAGCUUGAGUACAGAUGAGGUAGGCGGAAUUGACGGUGUAGCGGUGAAAUGCUUAGAUAUCGUCAAGAACACCGAUAGCGAAGGCAGCUUACUGGGCUGUAACUGACGCUGAGGCACGAAAGUGUGGGGAUCAAACAGG
rnacentral:rRNA from 1 species